rnacentral:rRNA from 1 species
AUCCGGAUCGGGGACAGUGCAUGGUAGGCAGUUUGACUGGGGCGGUCUCCUCCCAAAGUGUAACGGAGGAGUUCGAAGGUACGCUAGGUACGGUCGGACAUCGUGCUAAUAGUGCAAUGGCAUAAGCGUGCUUAACUGCGAGACCGACAAGUCGAGCAGGUACGAAAGUAGGACAUAGUGAUCCGGUGGUUCUGUAUGGAAGGGCCAUCGCUCAACGGAUAAAAGGUACUCUGGGGAUAACAGGCUGAUUCCUCCCAAGAGUUCAUAUCGACGGGGGAGUUUGGCACCUCGAUGUCGGCUCAUCACAUCCUGGGGCUGUAGCCGGUCCCAAGGGUAUGGCUGUUCGCCAUUUAAAGUGGUACGUGAGCUGGGUUUAAAACGUCGUGAGACAGUUUGGUCCCUAUCUGCCGUGGGCGUUGGAAAUUUGAAGGGGGCUGCUCCUAGUACGAGAGGACCGGAGUGGACGAACCUCUGGUGUACCGGUUGUCACGCCAGUGGCAUUGCCGGGUAGCUAAGUUCGGAAGAGAUAACCGCUGAAAGCAUCUAAGCGGGAAACUUGCCUUAAGAUGAGAUUUCCCAGAGCCUUGAGCUCUUUGAAGGGUCGUUCGAGACCAGGACGUUGAUAGGUCAGGUGUGGAAGUGCAGUAAUGCAUUAAGCUAACUGAUACUAAUUGCCCGUACGGCUUGUCCCUAUAACCUUGCCGGUUAUAU